UUAUCCCGAUAUUGUAUGAUCCCCAUUCCCAUUGACCUAUUCUAUGUUUGGAUUCACGGGGACACAAGAUGCGUGUCUUAAGUGUCACCUACUGAGCAUAUAGCUCACCCUGCAUACUUAUUAUUUUUUUCAGGUCAUGGCAAAGAAACGGCGGAUGACAAUCCUCCGCAAACUUGAAAGUUGUUAGAAGGUCAUGGCAAAGAAACGGCGGAUGACAAUCCUCCGCAAACUUGAAAGUUGUUAGAAGGUUGUUUGCUAUUUUGUAUUUUGACCAUUCUAUGUAUAUUCAUAGUUGUGGAAAUGUAACUAAGUUAGUAUUCAUGGCCUUGUAAUUUAAGAACGAACUUAUCUUUUGUUUAAUGUAAAUGAAACUAAUGGAAUCAUGGUAUAUAUUUCCAUGUAA